rnacentral:tRNA from 1 species
AGAAGCUUAAGUUAAUACACAAACCCAGGACCUUCAAAGCCCUAAAUGAGAGUGAAACCCUCCCAGCUCCUG